GGGGAUGUGGCUCAGGGGUAGAGCGUCUGCUUGGUAUGUAGAAGGUCCCAGGUUCAAUCCCCGACAUCUCCA